GUCCACGCUGUAAACGAUGAAUACUAGGUGUGGGAGGACUGACCCCUUCCGUGCCGCAGUUAACACAAUAAGUAUUCCACCUGGGGAGUACGGCCGCAAGGCUGAAACUCAAAGGAAUUGACGGGGGCCCGCACAAGCAGUGGAUUAUGUGGUUUAAUUCGACGCAACGCGAAGAACCUUACCAGGACUUGACAUCCAACUAACGAAGUAGAGAUACAUUAGGUGCCCUUCGGGGAAAGUUGAGACAGGUGGUGCAUGGUUGUCGU
rnacentral:rRNA from 1 species